AAUUGAGAUGCCACAACAUUCUAUGAAUAAGCGAUCAUAAGACACACAUUUUCACAAAAUGACACAACCAGAACGUCGCCAUCUUACGCAAAAAUAAGUUAAUUAAAAGAAAGAGUUAGCUUUUCCCUUUCAACUUUAAUCUCAACGGUUAAAAUGGUGCUGCAAGUCUUUUAGUAUCUCUAUCAGUAAGUUAACAGUUUAAUUUUAGUUAAUGAUUUCAUUGGACCUUUAAUGACUCAAACAUGGAAAAUCCUGUGAAUUAUCAGAAACAAUGGCAAAAAAAUUGGUUAAGGUGACCCAAAGAUGAGAAAUAAUGAAAACCAAUCAAGCAGAUGAAAGGGGUUCAUAAUUUUUGGUACAAUUUUGGCCCACGACAAAGGAUUGCCUGUUUCCUAUUCAACAAUACAUUUAUGCUAAUUUACCUGAUCUGCGUAUUUAUGUCCAUUGGGGUGUGAAGAAUCAGCUCGACUUAUGCUUCCAUCAAUGUCAAUGAAACCAUCAUGAGACCAAUAACUGUGAUCAUAUGUAAAUUUUUUAGGUGCAUCUCGAUGAUUAUUUGGAUUAUACAGGACGGUUGUAUUGGACUCCAUAUCCACAAUACAUUUGGCAUUUCGUUGUUUCUCUCGUUGAUUGUGUAAAAGUGAGUUAAGGAACGUUUGGUUGUAAUUUGAAUUUCUUAAAACUACUGUUAACUCUUGACAUGAACAUGCAGUUAUAAUUAAGGUGUUGCAUUUCGAUAUAACAUGGUGCAGUUAGAUGAUAUUGCAUGGAUAUGUGCAUAAACAAUGGGUGAUGUUAAACAUAGCUGGCCAAACAUUGUAAUCAGUAAUUGACUGUCAGUAAUUUGUUAUUGGCGUGAAAAGUAAUCAAUAUAUUGAAACUUGGCUACUGGAAAGGGUGAAAACAAUCAACCAGGCUGACAACAAUCAAGACUCGUUAAUAAUAACAUGUAAAAAUAAUUAAGUAGAUUCCAUCAAAAAAGCUUAGGUAAUAUCUAGCCAUAGUUUAAAUGAUAAUACAAAUGACAAUAAAAAGUAGAAGCAAGAAUAUGAAAAGCUAAUCAGAUUAACAUGAAACAUUAGUGUUUUAAAGAUUCUCACGCAAUCACGAUAGAAUCAGAAUCAUUAUGGUUUGCUUGUUAUCAUGCUGAAAUCAAUUUAUCAACAAAGUUUCACUUUUACUGAAUAAAAUUUUCAACUACAUUAAUUCAUUUCACAAUUGAGAACAGAUCUAACAUUUUUAUUGUCAAUGCAAGGUUAAAAACUGACAAAAUUUGUAUCAUUGCCAUUAUAGUUAGUCAUGAAACAUCAUGAGUUUCCAUGAAACAACGAAACUGUUAACAUUGAACGUUAUAAGAAUAAAUUCAAUGUUAUUUACACCAUUAAGAUGAUGUUAAAACAGCUGAUCACUAUGAUAACCAGUUUAGAUUGAUAGUGUGACGUUGACCUGAGGUUAAAUACAUGAAAUGAUUGUUGUUUAUUUAUCUAUGGAUUUUAAUUGUAAUCUGAAUAAAUUAUUUGCAAUAAAUGUCUUGAGCAAUCAGAGCAUAACCAUUAGUAUUAGGAUCCAUUAAUUUUUGGACUCAACAAGCAAACAUAACAACUAAACCAGGUUAAAUCUGUUUUGUUGAUCAAUCAUUUCCACCUUUAACUGAUCAGCUUUGUUUUACCUGAAAAAUAAACCAUCUAAUUAAUGAGCUAAAUAUGUUUCCCAAUCAAGAUCCUAACUGAUGAAAUCACAUUUAACCAUUAAAUGAUUAACCCAUUUCAACUGAUCAACAAUAAGUUUAUUGAUAUCUUUCGACUUUUAUUAUUUUAAUGAUUAAUCUUGCUCAACUACAAUAAUGAACAACUCAGAUAUUCAUAUCAAAUCCUUGUAAAGAUCGUAAAUGAAGCUGUUAAAAUUAAACUGUUAUCGUUAAUGUUCAUUCAUCUAAAUGUCAAUGUAUUCAUGAAUAAUAGACAAACAUGGAAUUGUGUUGUAGCUAAAGGCAACAAAUUGCAUCUCAAUCAAUAAAAUUUGAUAUUUACUAUUAAAAAU